rnacentral:rRNA from 1 species
UACGAAGGGGGCUAGCGUUGCUCGGAAUCACUGGGCGUAAAGGGUGCGUAGGCGGGUCUUUAGUCAGGGGUGAAAUCCUGGAGCUCAACUCCAGAACUGCCUUUGAUACUGAGGAUCUUGAGUUCGGGAGAGGUGAGUGGAACUGCGAGUGUAGAGGUGAAAUUCGUAGAUAUUCGCAAGAACACCAGUGGCGAAGGCGGCUCACUGGUCCGGUACUGACGCUGAGGUGCGAAAGCG